rnacentral:misc_RNA from 1 species
AUUACAGCGAAGCGGCGCGAGCCGCCUUUCGAACCACCGCGUACCGAACCCCCCACGUUGCCUCGGCGGGCGCCGGGCGCCCCGCGCCCGCCCCGCCGAACGGCCCCCCAGCAAGACCCCUUCCGUCGAGAUGGCGUCGUCUGAACCCUCCGGGGAAAACGUUUGAAACGAAAAACACAACUUUCAACAAUGGAUCUCUUGGCUCCGGCAUCGAUGAAGAACGCAGCGAAACGCGAUAGCUAGUGUGAAUUGCAGAUUUCAGUGAAUCAUCGAGUCUUUGAACGCACAUUGCGCCUCUUGGUAUUCCUCGAGGCAUGCCUGUUCGAGCGUCGUUACGCCCCUCAAGCGCGAGCUUGGUGUUGGGGACCGCCCCUGAGACACGGCGGCGGCCCCGGAAUGCAUCGGCGGUGCUGGUCCCAGCCCGGAGCGCAGCAGACAUGCGGCUCCGCGGGCGGGGCCGGCGCCCGCCGGACAAACGACGAGACCCCUCCACAAGUCG